AAUCUCGCAUCAUUUGUUGCCAUGUUCUCCACCACGUUCCUAUAAAAUUGGGUUUAUAAACCGACGGUUUUUGCUUUAUAUGCUAUAGUUGUUUCAGUUCUGCAUGUCUUAGCGUCAGUUUCUCUCUCUCAAAUCAAAUCAAAUCAAAUCAUGUUUCUUAGAGUUCCUCCGGCUAUCUUCUUGCGGAACGGCACCGUCACCUAUCUAGAAGGUACCAGAACCCUGAACCCCAAGCCCUAAUACAAACAAAUUGGUCAUUCUUCUUUCUCUGAUAGCCAAAAUUAACCUCUCAACAAACCGUGGAUUUAUGCAAUAAGUUUUCCUUCGUUGAUUCUCAUUACUAGAGAACCAGAUGCAAAAGAACGAUGCCAGUGGAUGAUGAAAUUGAGGAAUCACCAACCUUCCUCUCAAUUGGAUGAGCCUAUUCCGGAUCCUCUAAGCCCAUUUGUAGAUAAUGAUGGCGAUGAGAGACGGUUGCCUGCUCUUCUCAUCUGAUGUUAAAUUGGGGUUUGCACAUUUUAAGUAUGACCGUAUGUGUUGAAUACAAGCACAUUAUGCAGCUGAGCUUAUAGAUGUGUGCCGAGGAGACACUUACAGAGGACUAUGUGUUUGCUGGAUACAAUUAGACAGUUGAGGGGCUUAAGGAGUCCCGAGAUACAUAUCAUUAUCGCAGAUCUCAACCUUCGCCAAAGAGGAGGUACGUAGAAAAUGACAGCAUUUUAUUAAACAGACCAUUGCAUCAUUGAAUGCUUUUAAUGUGAGUAACCUUAAAAUCAGGGGUUCUAAGGAAAAGGAAGAGGAUGUUGGGAGAUGGAGAUAUGCUCUAAAUGAAGCAGCAGGCCUAGCUGGGAUGAGGUUGAAGAACACUGUUAAUGGCCAUGAAGCAAGAUUCAUCCAACAAAUUUUUAAAGAGGUUUCGCGAAAGCUACAUUUCUUUAAUACAAGCAUCGAUGGAAAAUUAGUAGGGAUGGAAACCCGGAUAAUGGACAUGGUUUCAUCUUUAGAAAUUGAUUAUGAUGAUGUUCGUAUGAUAGGGAUCAAGGGGAUAGGAGGUGGUGGGAAGACCACAUUGGCGAGAGCUGUUUUUGAUUAUAUAUCCACUGGGUUUGAAGUCAGAACGUGGAGCGUGCUUAUGGCUAUAAUAGGGUGAACAACAGAUUUCAAGAUGUGACUAUAUAAUUACUUUCAACCACCGCCCGUUGAUGAUAUGGAUGAUUCUUAUUGUUUAGAAGUUAUAUAUAGUACUGUCGAACCACGAGUCAGUCUUACCUAUCAGAUUCUGCAGCCUCAUCAUUGCAGGAUUGUUAUGUUAGAAUCAUACAAGAAAUGAGGUGGCUGGCAAAUGAAACUGGGGAAUCAACUGUGAUACCAAUUAUGGUCUAUCGGUGAUGGGAAAGUUGGGUCGUAACAAGCUCCAACUAUCGAAAUAUGGUGUCAAAGAUGUCUCCAGGUCUAUCGGUGAUGGGAAAGUUGGGUCGUAACAAGCUCCAACUAUCGAAAUACGGUGUCAAAGAUGAAUUGAUUGAUUGUGACCAUGCUCAGAUUUAGGAUAUACUCUGCUCCAGCUAUCAGAAUUUGUGGUAAUUUUGGGGCUUACAUUAGUAGUUACCGAAUAUAUUUGGUUUAAUGCGUCAUGUAAGAACAUUGGAUGUAUAUUUGUUUGAAGAGAUUUAAUUAUAAUAUAUAAAUGAUCCAAUAGAUUAAGAAGUAA